rnacentral:rRNA from 1 species
ACGUAGGGAGCAAGCGUUGUCCGGAAUUACUGGGCGUAAAGGGUGCGUAGGUGGUCAUGUAAGUCAGAUGUGAAAGACCCGGGCUUAACCCGGGGGCUGCAUUUGAAACUGUGUGACUUGAGUACAGGAGAGGGAAGUGGAAUUCCUAGUGUAGCGGUGAAAUGCGUAGAUAUUAGGAGGAACACCAGUGGCGAAGGCGACUUUCUGGACUGUAACUGACACUGAGGCACGAAAGCGUGGGGAGCAAACAG